rnacentral:sRNA from 1 species
GGCUGAUGUCAUUUUCCUUAUUUUUGGAUUUAGCCCUUUUUGAUUGCUUUUUUCUGGGGAGAGCCGGAUGUUGAUCCUAGGAUUGAUUUCGGAAGGGGGAAGAAAAGUGGCCUGCAUGAGACGGAAUGGUGACGAAUGAAUGAUAUCUCUCUGGGGUGGUGGAUGUGAAAAGGUCAAUUAGGGGAGGCCAGAAUGGAAACCGGCCAUUGCCCCGUUUUUAGCAGCUAUGCAUUCGCGUAGGGCUUCGAUAUCUCGAAACAAUAGGUAUGAAAAUAGCUGCCAAGGCGAAAGGGUGAACGUGGCAGGCGCAGUUUGUAAAUGAAAAGCGUUGAGCUUGGCUGGUGUGAAUGUGAUGAGGAAGCCCAUCCACUGAAAUUUUUUUUGGUCU